GCCGAAGUGGCGGAAUUGGCAGACGCGCACGACUCAAAAUCGUGUGGUUCUCAAUAAACCAUGUGGGUUCGACUCCCACCUUCGGCA
rnacentral:tRNA from 1 species